rnacentral:lncRNA from 1 species
CCACAUACACUAAAAAGGAUAAUCCUCAUAUAGGAAAAACUCUAAACGUACCGUUCGACAAAAAGAUAAAAUUGAUGAUCUUAAAACAGAGCUAAGCAUAAGCCUCAGUAGGCACCGGCCUUGUUAUAAAGGUAGGUGAGUCGAGUUUUCUAUUUUAGAUUGGGUUCAUUUACAACCCCAUCCGAGUAUAAAAGGCUAUGAAUAAAAAAGUGAACUAUCAAACUCCUACAAAAGCAUACAUUUUCUAACACACAAGGCCUUGAGAGCACCUUACACAGCACCGCAGUCGCUAAUAUGUUGAACACUCCCAUAUAAAGUAGAUAAUUAGGAAUAUAAAUAAUACUAAUCAAAAAAAUUUAAGAACAAGCAAAAACUGUUAAAUAACUCAACAAUCCCAAGGUUGCCACAUCAUUUUAAAAGGAAAAUCCAUACAAAAUAACCGUUCGACAAAAAGAUAAAAUUGACGACAGCAUUUAAACAGAGCUAAACAUAGGGAUCAAUCGGCGCCGGCCUUGUUGUAAACAUAGGUGAGCCCACACUUACCACAGUAGUGACGGUCAAAGUGGUUAGCCAUGAAAGUUCCAGCACCACAC